rnacentral:rRNA from 1 species
UUAGAGUUUGAUCCUGGCUCAGGACGAACGCUGGCGGCGUGCUUAACACAUGCAAGUCGAACGGAAAGGCCCGCUUGCGGGUACUCGAGUGGCGAACGGGUGAGUAACACGUGGGCAACCUGCCCCUGGCUCUGGGAUAACACUUGGAAACAGGUGCUAAUACCGGAUAAUGACCCUACCUGGCAUCAGGUUUGGUCCAAAGUUUUUCGGCUAGGGAUGGGCCCGCGGCCUAUCAGCUUGUUGGUGGGGUAAUGGCCUACCAAGGCGACGACGGGUAGCCGGCCUGAGAGGGCGACCGGCCACACUGGGACUGAGACACGGCCCAGACUUCUACGGAAGGCAGCAGUGGGGAAUAUUGCGCAAUGGGCGAAAGCCUGACGCAGCGACGCCGCGUGAGGGAUGACGGCCUUCGGGUUGUAAAGCUCUUUUGGCGGGGACGAUGAUGACGGUACCCGCAGAAUAAGCCCCGGCUAACUUCGUGCCAGCAGCCGCGGUACGCCC